rnacentral:rRNA from 1 species
GAUGAACGCUAGCUACAGGCUUAACACAUGCAAGUCGAGGGACCGGCGCACGGGUGAGUAACACGUAUCCAACCUGCCCUUUACUCGGGGAUAGCCUUUCGAAAGAAAGAUUAAUACCCGAUAUAAAGGAUGGGGAUGCGUUCCAUUAGGUUGUUGGUGAGGUAACGGCUCACCAAGCCUUCGAUGGAUAGGGGUUCUGAGAGGAAGGUCCCCGAGAUGGAAACAGGGACAGGACCCAAAACCCAAGGGGAAGAAGCAGUGAGGAAGAUUGGGCAAUGGGUGCUAGCCUGAACCGGCCAGGUAGCGUGAAGGAUGAGGGGUUAUGGGUCUUAAUCUUCUUGUAUAAAAGAAUAUGUAUUAGAUGAAUAAGGAUCGGCUAACUCCGUGCCAGCAGCCGCGGUAAUAC